GGAGCAGUAGCUCAGAUGGUAGAGCAACAACCACUUUCCGCUAUUGGCAAAAAAAGUUCCUUGAGUAUGUGUGUCGCAGGUUCGAGUCCUGCCUGCUCCU
rnacentral:tRNA from 1 species